UUUUGUUUUUUUUAAUGCAAUUAAGCACUCCUCCUAGUUUUUCUUUUAUUUUUACAACUGUAUUCCUUGAUAAUCAAGUAGGUCCAUGACUAAAGCACCUAUUUGUGUACUCCAAAAGGUCUGUGCGUCUAAACUUGAAUUUUCUUUUUUUUUUUAUUUAUUGAUGUACUGUUUGUUUGUUUAGGUUUGGGUUUUUUUGAGCACAGGUUUCGUACGUGUGAUUAUCGAACUGUAGGCAUCCCUGACUCGUGUUAGCUGCUUAAACAAAAGUCUGAUCAUUUGUGAUGAUAAAACUUGUCUUAAAGCUUCUGUUUUUUUCUGUUGUUUAGCUGAACUGCAUGCUUCCAGACAACGACUUAUUGCCAAUGUUUUUUAUUUUUGUUUGGGGUUUUUUUGUUUUUGUUUUGUUUUUAUUGUAUUGCACAGAGAUUCUGCAAAACCGAACGGCCUUUAUUUUCCUUUGCACCUGCAGAUCGCAUGAUCGCGCUCAUUUCUUUGUGCCAGUUUGUCCUCUCCCGGCCCUCCUGCCUGACGCAGCAGCAGUAUUAUUUAAGUGUCCAUCUGAGUUACUUCAGAAACUGUCUGGUGUGUAUGUUUUGGUUUGAAGAGACAGCAUGUUUGCUCUCAUUUAAGUGGCCCUUAAAUACGCCCAAGGAGGAUUUGAUUUGAUUUGUUUUCCACCCCCCUUUUUCUGUGUCAAAGGGCAUGUUUCAGUUCACUGUGAUGUCUUUUGUGUUUUGUGCAAUGUUGCCGACUGUCAUUUUGUUUUUCUUUUUCUUUUUUCUUUUUAAUUAACAUGCUGUCAAAUAGUGUUGGAAUAAAUAAAUAAAUUCACCUUCAUAAGCACUCAUCAUCUCUUUUUACUUGUAGUAAAAUUGCUUACAGUAACUCUAACUGGGGUCAUAUCUAUCUCUCUUGGUGUUGCUUCAAUUAAAAAGUGGAUGAACACAAAAUACCAUGUUAAUUACUGUUCAACCUGUGUUACUGCAUACUACAUUAUUGUUGAAGAACUUGUAAAUAGUUUGCAUUGAACUUGCAUAGGAUCUUGUUACUGUGGCGUGCUCUUUUUGCCUGUAAAAUUCUGCUUCUAAAUGUGUGUGACUGUUGAGACGACACUCUUUUUGUACAUGACUGUCUUUUUAUUUGAGGAUAUUGAUUCUGUCCUUUUUCAUUCGAAAGUUGAGUUUGAAGAGUUCAGACAUGCCUGAAGUUUGACUUUAAUAAAGCUGUACUCUGUCUCAGUGAAA
ensembl:lncRNA